GUGCCAGCAGCCGCGGUAAUACAGAGGGUGCGAGCGUUGUCCGGAAUCACUGGGCGUAAAGGGCGCGUAGGCGGUGGCCUAAGCGUGCGGUGAAAGCCCGGGGCUCAACCCCGGGUCGGCCGUGCGAACUGGGUCACUCGAGCACACUAGAGGCGAGUGGAAUUCCGGGUGUAGCGGUGGAAUGCGUAGAGAUCCGGAAGAACACCAGUGGCGAAGGCGGCUCGCUGGGGUGUAGCUGACGCUGAGGCGCGACAGCGUGGGGAGCAAACAGGAUUAGAUACCCUGGUAGUCC
rnacentral:rRNA from 1 species